CACUGCAUUCCCCACCCCCCACCCCUAGUCGGGUCUUCUCUGCCCUCCAGGCUUCGUUGUUUGUUUGCAUUUUUCCCUAGUUUUCCCCCACUGCUGAACUUGAGAAAGUCCCGGGCAAAACCAGCCGCGGCCUUUUCCCCCUGAGCAGCACCCAGCCACAGAAGCGCAUGUCCACUAUCCAGAACCUCCAAUCCUUCGACCCCUUUGCUGAUGCAACUAAGGGUGACGACUUACUCCCGGCAGGGACUGAAGACUACAUCCAUAUAAGGAUUCAGCAACGGAACGGCAGAAAAACAUUAACAACUGUUCAGGGAAUUGCUGAUGACUAUGACAAAAAGAAACUUGUGAAAGCAUUCAAAAAGAAAUUUGCUUGUAACGGUACUGUGAUUGAACAUCCUGAAUACGGGGAAGUUAUCCAGUUGCAGGGUGACCAGAGGAAGAAUAUUUGCCAGUUCCUUUUAGAGGGCUUAUUAAUGAAGAUUUAUGAGGAUUUAUGCUGUUUGGAACGCACCGUUUUGGAUGAAAGUUAAUAAAUCAUGAAGUGAAAGUGUUAAUAGCCCAGCAGACUGAAUUUAAAACUGCUGCUGGGCGAGGUCAUCAGUGGUUUUGGGGUGAGUUAUCAACUGUACGCGGAUGACACCCAGCUGUACAUUUCCACCCCUGACCACCCCAAUGAAGCUGUUGAAGUGUUGUCUCGGUGUGUGGAGGCCGUACGGGUCUGGAUGGGGAGAAACAGGCUCAAGCUCAACCCCUCCAAGACUGAGUGGCUGUGGAUGCCGGCAUCCCGGUACAGUCAGCUGCAACCGCGGCUGACUGUUGGGGGCGAAUCAUUGGCCCCAAUGGAGAGGGUGCGCAAUUUGGGGGUUCUCCUGGAUGGACGGUUGUCCUUUGAAGAUCAUUUGCCGACCGUCUCCAGGAGAGCUUUUUACCAGG